rnacentral:tRNA from 3 species
GCCCCUGUAGCUCAACUGGAUAGAGCAGACGCGUUCUAAGCGCCUGGUUGGGUGUUCGAGUCACCCCAGGGGUACUA